UUUUUAUUUAAACUUUUUAAGGUUAUUUUGAAUUCGCUGUGAAGAGAAUGCAACCCUGCGCCAGCUGAAGUGGGCAAUGCAGCUAUAUGUUUUCCUUAGGAAGUAUCUGAAUGAGUGCGACAGUGAUGCAAGGCUCACACGUACAGGGGGAAACUGGUGAAAAUCUGCACACCGCCCAUACAAAGUUCACCAGAUUUUUCACCAGUUUUGAAGUGAACGAAACCCGCGGUUUCACCAGAUUUUUCACCACUUUUGGCUGGCAGAGGAUUUACCAACACAUACCCAACUUUUUUGUCAUCUCACCCACACACUCAAAAGUUGUCGAAAAAAGUUUCCAUAAAGCGAGCAAGUGAAAAUCAGGCGAAAUUUGACAGCGAAUUUCAAAUUUGAUUCUAGUAGGCUGCGAAGAAAAACAUCAAUUUCGCGAAAAAUUUUGGAGAUAGCCAAACAUCAGCAGGAGACUUAAGGCAUCAGAACCUUGAAGAUUGCCAAACAUCUGCAAAGACAUCCACAGCACACUGAACACCAUUGGUCACCAAUAGCUCUCAACCCUACAUCAUACCAGCUACAUUGCUCGGUGAGUUUUAUUGUUCAAAUCAGUCAUGCCCAGCGCAAGGCACUUGCAUAUGGAAUUCUGCCAGCGCAGGGCAUUUGCUUAUGGAGUUCUGCCGACGUUGGGCAUGACUGGUUUAAAUAUUAAGAAACGCGGUUGCUCCAAGUGCAAU